UUGUUUUCUCACAUACACUCCUCACUACUCUUAUAUCCUCUCAUUGGUAAUACCACCACCAUUUCCACCAUCAUUUUCUAGCAAGAUCACCGGAAAAUUCUUGUGAACCCAUAAACACCUUUACAUCCUUUUUUUGAGGUUCUAGCUAAUCUCCUUGGAGCUUGGAGAAUUAGGCUUUUGCGGUUGCGAGAGUAAGCAACAAUCUUUUGAGACAGCUUUUUGGUGGAUAACAGUAGUUAGACUAACUACUGAUGGAGGAUGAACUUUUGUAAUGGAGAUAUUAGAUGAUGUACAUCUUAAAAUAGGCUUGACUUAUUUUUUUGUAUAUUAUAGUGGUUAUGACGUUAUUCCCACUGAUGGGACAAGCUGAUGAUAUGUAAUUAUUUAUUCAGACCUCUAUUAUUUUGUGGCUAGUGGUUCUUGUAAUUAUUGCUUAGAGCUCUGACUUAUUUAAAGAGUAUAUUCAAUGGAAUUAUUAUGAUAAUUCUUGA